UAAUACGGAGGGUCCAAGCGUUAUCCGGAUUUAUUGGGUUUAAAGGGUCCGUAGGCGGGAAAAUAAGUCAGUGGUGAAAGCCUACAGCUCAACUGUAGAACUGCCAUUGAAACUGUUUUUCUUGAAUUUAGAUGAAGUGGGCGGAAUAUAUCAUGUAGCGGUGAAAUGCAUAGAUAUGAUAUAGAACACCGAUUGCGAAGGCAGCUCACUAAACUAAUAUUGACGCUGAGGGACGAAAGUGUGGGGAGCGAACAGGUUUAGAUACCCUGGUAGUCCACACCGUAAACGAUGAUUACUCGAUGCUAGCGAUAUACUGUUAGUGUCUAAGCGAAAGCGAUAAGUAAUCCACCUGGGGAGUACGGUCGCAAGAUUG
rnacentral:rRNA from 1 species